rnacentral:rRNA from 1 species
GACGAACGCUGGCGGCGUGCUUAACACAUGCAAGUCGAACGGAAAGGCCCUGCUUUUGUGGGGUGCUCGAGUGGCGAACGGGUGAGUAACACGUGAGUAACCUGCCCUUGACUUUGGGAUAACUUCAGGAAACUGGGGCUAAUACCGGAUAGGAGCUCCUGCUGCAUGGUGGGGGUUGGAAAGUUUCGGCGGUUGGGGAUGGACUCGCGGCUUAUCAGCUUGUUGGUGGGGUAGUGGCUUACCAAGGCUUUGACGGGUAGCCGGCCUGAGAGGGUGACCGGCCACAAUGGGACUGAGAGACGGCCCAGACUCCUACGGGAGGCAGCAGUGGGGAAUAUUGCACAAUGGGCGGAAGCCUGAUGCGGCAACGCCGCGUGCGGGAUGACGGCCUUCGGGUUGUAAACCGCUUUCGCCUGUGACGAAGCGUGAGUGACGGUAAUGGGUAAAGAAGCACCGGCUAACUACGUG